rnacentral:rRNA from 1 species
GAAUAUUGGAUAAUGGGGGCAACCAUGAUACAGCCAUACCGCGCGUGUGAAGAAGGUCUUCGGACAGUUAAGCACUUUAAGUUGGGAAUAAGGGCUUUAGGUUAAUACCAUGAAGUGUAGACGUUAAUAACAUAAUCAGCUCCUUCUAACUCUGUGCCAGCAUCCGCGGUAAUACAGAGGGUGGAAGCGUUAAACGGAAUUACUGGGCGUAAAGCGCGAGUAGGUUGUUCAGUAAGAUGGGUAUGAAGUCCCCGGGCUUAACCUGGGAACUGCUUUCAUAACUGCUGAGCUAGAGUACGAUAGAGGAUAAUAGAAUUUCCUGUGUAGCGGUGAAAUGCGUAGAUAUAGGAAGGAACACCAGUGGCGAAGGCGACUACCUGGACUGAUACUGACACUGAGGUGCGAAAGCGUGGGGAGCAAAC